UCGGCCCAAAACAAACAGUUCUAGCACCACAAUUUAAUAAAAAAAGAAUAAAGGCUCAAAUCAAACGAGCGCUGAAUUUGUGUCUCUUUCACACGGAGGAUUUCCUCACGUCCUUCUUCCCGCGAAAGAGGCCCAUUUAGUAAGGCGCCAGUAUUUGUGGAAGCAUCACGCCGCGCGUGGAAGCCGAUUUCGAUUUAGGCCCGUCUAUCAUGAAUAAUCUGAAUAUUUUAAGAAAAGUCGCCGUGUUCACAAAAAAUUUUGAACAUGCUAAAUUCGUCGAUUCCACCGGCUCGAAUCAUACAAAAAACUACAGGUUCAAAAGAUAAGAUUUUAACUCAGGUAUUAUUGAAAAACAGAAUAUUCCUUUAUGUAGUCCGCCAAAACAUGACGACACAAUAUCUGAUAGUCUUGAAAAAUUCAAUAACUCUGAUACUACUCCCAAUAUUCUCGUAACUGACACCACUUUAACUAUUGCAUCUACAUCUAUGAGAUCAAGGGCAUCUUCUACUCCAGCUCGUCGUCUAGUUCCAGCAGCAGUAGUAGUAGAAGUUCAUCAUCCCGUAGUGGUACACCAAUAAAUAGAGAAAAAUCUGUAACACCUCAAGACAAACAACCUGAAAUUCAGAUAUCAGAUUCACCUUCAAUUUUAAUAAUAUUGAAACGACGCCUGCACGUCGAGCCCCUGCAGUAAAUUAUCAUGUUUCAC